UUGUUUGGAGCGUUCCGAUGGUAAGGUACAUCUCAGAUUUAGUCUGAAACACUAAACUCAGUCUAACUCUUUUUCUGCUUUUGUUUUUCAGGACUUCCAGGAAACAAGGAGUCAGAUUUCAGACUUAACAUCACUUUGUUUGGAGCUUUCACAUGGACUUCCAGGAAACAAGGAGUCAGAUUUCAGACUUAACAUCACUUUGUUUGGAGCUUUCAGAUGGUCUUCCAGCAAACAAUACACCUCAGGGAGACAGAUUUCAGACUUGACGUCACCUUGUUUGGAGCUUUCAGAUGGUAAGGUACAUCUCCGAUUUAGUCUCAAAUACUGAACUCAGUUUAACUUUUUUUCUGCUUUUCUUUUUCAGGAUUUCCAGGAAACAAGGCUCAGGGAGUCUGAUUUCAGACUAAACGUCACUUUGUUUGGAGCUUUCAGAUGGACUUCCAGGAAACAAGGAGUCAGAUUUCAGACUUAACAUCACUUGAUUUCCAGAAAGCAAUAACUCAGAGGGAGUCAGAUUUCAGACUUGACGUCACUUUGUUUGGAGCGUUCCGA